rnacentral:rRNA from 1 species
GAGUUUGAUCCUGGCUCAGGAUGAACGCUAGCGGCAGGCUUAACACAUGCAAGUCGAGGGGUAACAGGAUUUAGUUUACUAGAUUGCUGACGACCGGCGCACGGGUGAGUAACGCGUAUACAAUUUGCCUUUUACUGGAGGAUAGCCAAGAGAAAUUUUGAUUAAUACUCCAUAGUAUUAUUUGAUCACCUGGUCGAAUAAUUAAAGCUCCGGCGGUAAAAGAUGAGUAUGCGUCCUAUUAGCUUGAUGGUAAGGUAACGGCUUACCAUGGCAACGAUAGGUAGGGGUCCUGAGAGGGAGAUCCCCCACACUGGUACUGAGACACGGACCAGACUCCUACGGGAGGCAGCAGUGAGGAAUAUUGGGCAAUGGAGGCAACUCUGACCCAGCCAUGCCGCGUGCAGGAAGACGGCCCUAUGGGUUGUAAACUGCCUUUAUACAGGAAGAAACUUAUCCACGUGUGGAUAACUGACCGUACUGUAAGAAUAAGGACCGGCUAACUCCGUGCCAGCAGCCGCGGUAAUAC